UAGGGAAUUUUCCGCAAUGGGGGCAACCCUGACGGAGCAACGCCGCGUGAGUGAAGACGGCCUUCGGGUUGUAAAGCUCUGUUCUUGGGGAAGAAAACAAUGACGGUACCCAAGCAGAAAGCCCCGGCUAACUACGUGCCAGCAGCCGCGGUAAUACGUAGGGGGCAAGCGUUGUCCGGAAUUAUUGGGCGUAAAGCGCGCGCAGGUGGUGAAUUAAGUUGUGGGUAAAAGGCAAUGGCUCAACCAUUGUAAGCCUGCAAAACUGGUUCACUUGAGUGCAGGAGAGGUGAGUGGAAUUCCCGGUGUAGCGGUGGAAUGCGUAGAGAUCGGGAGGAACACCAGUGGCGAAGGCGACUCUCUGGCCUGUAACUGACACUGAGGCGCGAAAGCGUGGGGAGCGAACA
rnacentral:rRNA from 1 species